AGGGCUUUUUUGUUUCGGAUCUUCAGUUGUGGGCUUCGCUUUAAAGCUUCUUAAUUCAUUCACUGAAAUUAGGGCUUGAGAUUUAUAGUUUCUUACAAUUUAUUUAAGAGAUUCGAAUUAUGAGUUUCACUUUAACGUUGUUAAUUUAGUGUCUCUGUUUGUUUCAAGGCUUCAAUCAGAUUGGGCUCCAAUCCAAUCAGGACUUCCGUCAAAUUAGGGCUUUUCACUUUAAUGGGGGCUUCAAAUUGCUUGGAUUGUGAUUUAAGAUACACUCCUCUCUCAUAUAUUUGCUUUGCUUGACAAGCUUGAUCGAUAAUAUGAGCUCUGCCAGACCUCAGUUUCCUACCAAAGAGUACAUGAAAACACAGAUCAAACUAUCUGACCCUAUACACUAAUACACCAGUUAUCACUGGAGAAAUCGGAAAGACUUUAUGUUAUUCUAAAAUAGGGAGAACAGUCAAACAACUGUUAUUGGUUGUCCUGGCGAAC